CCUACGGGCGGCAGCAGUGAGGAAUAUUAGUCAAUGGACGAGAGUCUGAACCAGCCAAGUAGCGUGAAGGAUGACUGCCCUAUGGGUUGUAAACUUCUUUUAUCGGGGAACAAAAUGUUCCACGUGUGGGCUUUUGUAUGUACCAUAUGAAUAAGGAUCGGGUAACCCCGUGCCAGCAGCCGCGGUAAUACGGAGGAUCGUGGCGUUAACCGGAUUUAUUGGGUUUAAAGGGAUUGUAGGUGGGUUGUUAAGUCAGUUGUGAAAGUUUGCGGCUUAACCGGCAAAUUGCAGUUGAAACUGGGAGUCUUGAGUGCAGUAGAGGUAGGCGGAAUGCGUGGUGUAGCGGUGAAAUGCUUAGAUAUCACGAAGAACUCCGAUUGCGAAGGCAGUUCACUGGACUGCAACUGACGCUGAGGCUCGAAAGUGUGGGUAUCGAACAGGAUUAGAUACCCGAGUAGUC
rnacentral:rRNA from 1 species